rnacentral:tRNA from 2 species
GGAGGGCCGUAAGGUUGGCGUACUAACCGGUCUUGAAAACCGUGAUGGCUUAACAGCCGUGUGGGUUCGAUCCCCACGCCCUCCGCCA